rnacentral:rRNA from 1 species
UACGUAGGGUCCGAGCGUUGUCCGGAAUUACUGGGCGUAAAGAGCUCGUAGGUGGUUUGUCGCGUUGUCCGUGAAAACUCACAGCUCAACUGUGGGCGUGCGGGUCGAUACGGGGCAGAUCACGAUGGACUUGGCAGGGGAGACUGGAAUUCCUGGUGUAGCGGUGAAAUGCGCAGAUAUCAGGAGGAACACCGGUGGCGAAGGCGGGUCUCUGGGCCGUAACUGACGCUGAGGAGCGAAAGCGUGGGGAGCGAACAGGAUUAGAACGUACCGUAGUCAGUCCAAGACCAGUCUCGU